UAAUUAUACAUUUAUAUAAAAGUUAAAGACAAAACCUAAGUUUUUUUUUGAAACCCUCUAUAACCCUAAAUUAACCCUAAAAUUACCCUAACUAAAUUUACCAUAAACCCGAUUACCACCCCCCACCAAACCCAAAACAUUUCCCCACCCCUAAACCCAAAAUAUUUCCCCCUCAGCCGAAGCACAUUUCCUUAGGCAAAAAAAAAUCAAAACACCUAAACCUAAAUUACUAAUGUCUCUCGUCUUUCUCUCUUCCUCUUUUUCUCUUUUUCUCUCUUUCUCUCUGCCUCUCUAUGCUUACCCGAGACACGAGUCUCAGUCAUAU
rnacentral:lncRNA from 1 species